UAUUGGACAAUGGGCGAAAGCCUGAUCCAGCCAUGCCGCGUGGGUGAAGAAGGCCUUCGGGUUGUAAAGCCCUUUUGUUGGGAAAGAAAAGCAGUCGGUUAAUACCCGAUUGUUCUGACGGUACCCAAAGAAUAAGCCCCGGCUAACUUCGUGCCAGCAGCCGCGGUAAUACGAAGGGGGCUAGCGUUGUUCGGAAUCACUGGGCGUAAAGCGUGCGCAGGCGGCUAUGCAAGUCAGGGGUGAAAUGCCAAGGCUUAACCUUGGAACUGCCUUUGAAACUGCAUAGCUAGAGUCCCGGAGGGGUUAGUGGAAUUCCUAAUGUAGCAGUGAAAUGCGUAGAUAUUAGGAGGAACACCAGUGGCGAAGGCGGCUAACUGGACGGGUACUGACGCUCAUGCACGAAAGCGUGGGGAUCAAAC
rnacentral:rRNA from 1 species